rnacentral:rRNA from 1 species
GACGAACGCUGGCGGCGCGCUUUACACAUGCAAGUCGAGCGAUGAAAUUUCGACAGAUCCCUUCGGGGUGAAGAUGAAAUGGAUUAGCGGCGGACGGGUGAGUAACACGUGAGUAACCUGCCUUUGACAUUGGGAUAGCCUCGGGAAACUGGGAUUAAUACCAAAUGACACUAACUGAUCACAUGAUCAAUUAGUCAAAGAAAUUCGGUCAAAGAUGGACUCGCGGCUGAUUAGCUAGUUGGUGAGGUAACGGCCCACCAAGGCGACGAUCAGUAGCCGGCCUGAGAGGGUGAUCGGCCACAUUGGAACUGAGACACGGUCCAAACUCCUACGGGAGGCAGCAGUGGGGAAUAUUGCACAAUGGGGGAAACCCUGAUGCAGCGACGCCGCGUGAGCGAAGAAGGCCUUCGGGUCGUAAAGCUCUUUUAUGAGGGAAGAUAAUGACGGUACCUCAAGAAAAAGCCCCGGCUAACUACGUG